UUACAGCAGCUAUAUCAGACACCAAGCUUGGUGCAGAAGGGUGGAAAGAUCUUUUCGAGUGGUUGACAAGACAGAUUUCUGGGUUAAGUGAUUUCUCUGAUGCUGCUCAUCUUCUGAAACCAGCUUCCUCUGCUUUGACGGAUAAAUCCUCAGAUGUUCGUAAAGCAGCAGAGACAUGCGUUUCUGAAAUUUUGAGAGUUAGUGGGCAUGAAACGGUUGUGAAGAUUUUGAGAGAUAUUCAUGGGCCAACUUUAGCUCUUGUUGAACGAUUGAAGCCUCAUGGAUCUUUUCACCUAUGGUGUUUUUGCUUGUAAUGCAUUAAACUAAUUAACUAAAUUGAAUGGUUUCCUCUUAGAAUCUUUUGAGUCAGCCAAAAGCAUUUCAAAGGCCGGAAAGUCUGCUUCCAAUGGAGUUUUGAAGCAUGGAGCCAAAGCUACUUCAAGGACAAUUCCCACGAAGGGAUCAAAUUCAAUGCUGUCCGUCCAAGAUAUAGCUGUCCAGUCACAGGCCUUGAUAAAUGUUAAAGAUUCAGUUAAGGAGGAUAGAGAGCGAUUGGCAGCUAAAAAGUUUUAAGUUUGAAGAGCCUCGGAUAGAACACUUGUACAGAUUUCACAGAACAAUUCCUCGAGUUUUUCAUUGUCAUUGCAUUUAUGAAAAGUAUUUUACUCGUGCAUUACAUGCAGAAUGAUAUGACGAAGUGCUUUAGAGAGGAUGUGCAUGGGCGGCUUCUUUCUACAGAUUUU